rnacentral:rRNA from 2 species
GCUAAUACAUGCAAGUCGAGCGAACUGAUUAGAAGCUUGCUUCUAUGACGUUAGCGGCGGACGGGUGAGUAACACGUGGGCAACCUGCCUGUAAGACUGGGAUAACUUCGGGAAACCGAAGCUAAUACCGGAUAGGAUCUUCUCCUUCAUGGGAGAUGAUUGAAAGAUGGUUUCGGCUAUCACUUACAGAUGGGCCCGCGGUGCAUUAGCUAGUUGGUGAGGUAACGGCUCACCAAGGCAACGAUGCAUAGCCGACCUGAGAGGGUGAUCGGCCACACUGGGACUGAGACACGGCCCAGACUCCUACGGGAGGCAGCAGUAGGGAAUCUUCCGCAAUGGACGAAAGUCUGACGGAGCAACGCCGCGUGAGUGAUGAAGGCUUUCGGGUCGUAAAACUCUGUUGUUAGGGAAGAACAAGUACGAGAGUAACUGCUCGUACCUUGACGGUACCUAACCAGAAAGCCACGGCUAACUACGUGCCAGCAGCCGCGGUAAUACGUAGGUGGCAAGCGUUAUCCGGAAUUAUUGGGCGUAAAGCGCGCGCAGGCGGUUUCUUAAGUCUGAUGUGAAAGCCCACGGCUCAACCGUGGAGGGUCAUUGGAAACUGGGGAACUUGAGUGCAGAAGAGAAAAGCGGAAUUCCACGUGUAGCGGUGAAAUGCGUAGAGAUGUGGAGGAACACCAGUGGCGAAGGCGGCUUUUUGGUCUGUAACUGACGCUGA